rnacentral:rRNA from 1 species
UGGGGAAUAUUGGGCGAUGGGGGAAACCCUGACCCAGCGACGCCGCGUGAGGGAAGAAGGUUCUCGGAUUGUAAACCUCUGUUCUUGGUGAAGAGAAGAAGACGGUAGCCAAGGAGGAAGCCCCGGCUAACUACGUGCCAGCAGCCGCGGUAAUACGUAGGGGGCGAGCGUUGUCCGGAAUGAUUGGGCGUAAAGGGCGCGUAGGCGGCUGAUUAAGUCUGGAGUGGAAGUCCUAUUUUUAAGGUAGGAAUUGCUUUGGAAACUGAUCAGCUUGAGUGCAGGAGAGGUUAUCGGAAUUCCCGGUGUAGCGGUGAAAUGCGUAGAGAUCGGGAGGAACACCAGUGGCGAAGGCGGGUAACUGGACUGCAACUGACGCUGAGGCGCGAAAGUGUGGGGAGCAAACAG